CCUACGGGUGGCUGCAGUGGGGAAUAUUGCACAAUGGGGGGAACCCUGAUGCAGCAAUGCCGCGUGGGUGAAGAAGCACUCCGGUGCGUAAAGCCCUGUCAGCAGGGAAGAAAAUGACAGUACCUGGACAAGAAGCCCCGGCUAACUACGUGCCAGCAGCCGCGGUAAUACGUAGGGGGCAAGCGUUAUCCGGAUUUACUGGGUGUAAAGGGAGCGUAGACGGCGCGGCAAGUCUGAAGUGAAAGGCAGGGGCUUAACCCCUGAACUGCUUUGGAAACUGCCAUGCUAGAGUGCUGGAGAGGUAAGUGGAAUUCCUAGUGUAGCGGUGAAAUGCGUAGAUAUUAGGAGGAACACCAGUGGCGAAGGCGGCUUACUGGACAGUAACUGACGUUGAGGCUCGAAAGCGUGGGGAGCAAACAGGAUUAGAUACCCCUGUAGUC
rnacentral:rRNA from 1 species